rnacentral:rRNA from 1 species
GACGAACGCUGGCGGCGUGCUUAACACAUGCAAGUCGAACGGAAAGGCCCUGCUUUUGUGGGGUGCUCGAGUGGCGAACGGGUGAGUAACACGUGAGUAACCUGCCCUUGACUUUGGGAUAACUUAAGGAAACUGGGGCUAAUACCGGAUAGGAGCUCCUGCUGCAUGGUGGGGGUUGGAACGUUUCGGCGGUUGGGGAUGGACUCGCGGCUUACCAGCUUGUUGGUGGGGUAGUGGCUUACCAAGGCUUUGACGGGUAGCCGGCAUGAGAGGGUGACCGGCCACAAUGGGACUGAGAUACGGCCCAGACGCCUACGGGAGGCAGCAGUGGGGAAUAUGGCACAAUGGGCGGAAGCCUGAUGCAGAAACGCCGCGUGCGUGAUGACGGCCUUCGGGUUGUAAACCGCUUUCGCCUGUGACGAAGCGUGAGUGACGGUAAUGGGUAAAGAAGCACCGGCUAACUACGUG